UGGGGAAUUGUUCACAAUGGGCGCAAGCCUGAUGACGCAACGCCGCGUGGGGGAUGAAGGUCUUCGGAUCGUAAACCCCUGUCGAAUGGGACGAAUAAUCCGCGAGCUAACACAUCGCGGAAAUGACGGUACCGUUAAAGGAAGCCACGACUAACUCUGUGCCAGCAGCCGCGGUAAUACAGAGGUGGCAAGCGUUGUUCGGAAUUACUGGGCGUAAAGGGCGCGUAGGCGGCCAUCUAAGUCAGACGUGAAAUCCCCCGGCUUAACCUGGGAACUGCGUCUGAUACUGGAAGGCUUGAGUAUGGGAGAGGGAUGUAGAAUUCCAGGUGUAGCGGUGAAAUGCGUAGAUAUCUGGAGGAAUACCGGUGGCGAAGGCGGCAUCCUGGACCAUUACUGACGCUGAGGCGCGAAAGCUAGGGGAGCAAACGGGAUUAGAUACCCCGGUAGUCCUAGCCCUAAACGAUGAAUACCUGGUGUGGCGGGUAUCGAUCCCUGCCGUGCCGAAGCUAACGCAUUAAGUAUUCCGCCUGGGGAGUACGGUCGCAAGGCUGA
rnacentral:rRNA from 1 species